UCCCAGGUGGCUAGUGGGUAAAGAAUCUGCCUGCAAUGCAGGAGAUGUGGGUUCAAUCCCUGCGUUGGGAA
rnacentral:tRNA from 1 species